ensembl:lncRNA
GAGUGUGUGUGUAGUGGGGUGAAUGGGAGAAUUAAUGGGGGGUGAGGAUAAAGUGAAUCGGUGAAGAAGGUAAAUGAAGAGAGAGACAGACAGAGACAGAGACAGAGAGAGAGAGACGGGAGAAUUAUGGGGGGUGAGGAUAACGUAAAUGGGAGGGGGUGAAGGAGGGAGAGAAGUGCAGAGCAAGCUGGUCUGGAGGGAUAGAGGAUGGAGGUGGGAGAUGAAGAGAGGGAUGAAGGAGAGAUAGAGGAUGGAGGUGGGAGAUGAAGGGAGGGAUGAAGGGGAGAUAGAGGAUGGAGGUGGGAGAUGAAGGGAGGGAUGAAGGAGAGAUAGAGGAUGGAGGUGGGAGAUGAAGAGAGGGAUGAAGGAGAGAUAGAGGGACAGAGAUGGGAGAUGGGGCUGGAAUGAGAGGAUAAACACAGUAAAGUUGCAAGGCGAUGGGAGGGCUCUGGUAUGCAGCCAUGGAUAUAAUCGGCUCAUUUGAUUUGACCUACUAAAUCAUUUCACCGUUACGAUGUUUACCAGCCUUCUGCCCACUGCGGGGGUCAAGAGGUCAGGAGUCUGGCGGAUUCGACUAAUAUUUCUUGAAUACCCUGCACUGUAAUCCUGAUUAUUACGAGUAUUCAUAACCGGUUCAAUUAUAGAUCCACAAAGCAGUCCGCUAAUCCCGGGCCUUGGCACACGUCCCAGCGUCUAUAGACGUGUUCAUAAACCACGUCUCCGAGCUGAGCCACGAGAAAAAGUGUGGCAUGCUCAAAUAAACGUUGAAAUAAAUGCAUGCAAUUUGCUCUUGUAGCCAUCCAUCAUUAAUCACGUGUGUAGAGACACAGCGGGGGGAGGCUGAGAAAGGAAUGUAGAUGAGUUGUAAUGGAGGCUCUGGUGUUAAUGGGGGGAGGUGUGUUGUGUCGGGGGGGCGGGGGGGGGGCGUGCUGGGUUGUUCUCCCUGACUGACCUACGCCAUCAGUCCAAUCUAGCCGCUCCGAUUUUAUCGCCAGACGUUACUUUCUCUGCCUUGUUCUCAGGCGCUCCCGAUAAAUCGCGUGCUCAACGACUGAAUGUAAAUAAAACAGAACUCUCCUCUCUCUCCCGCCGCUUCCUGCUCAAUCUCUUCCUCCUUCCCCUCCCAUUAGCCAAUCCACCAUCUGUCACUACGGCAACGGGUCACAGCGGGGCCCUAAUCGGCACAUCUGAUGCCGCCGGGCGACAUGUUUCCAUGUGCAUGAGGACACCUCCGUGAUCACGCACACACAAUCGCACCCCGUGUUCUCAUCUCCACCGUUAAUCUAGGAGAGUCGGGGUGGGAGGAUUUACUCUGCCCAUUCAAGGACCCGCUAAGAGUCAAGAACGAGUUUAUAACUAGGAACCAGCUGAUAACUCAGUACUACCUGAUAACUAAGAACCAGUUAAUAACUAAGAACCAGCUGAUAACUCAGUACUACCUGAUAACUAAGAACCAGUUAAGAAAGAAGAACCAGCUGAUAACUCAGUACUACCUGAUAACUAAGAACCAGUUAAUAAAGAAGAAACAGCUGAUAACUCAGAACCGGCUGAUAACUCAGAACCAGUUAAUAACUCAGAACCAGUUGAUA